rnacentral:tRNA from 1 species
UCCCUGGAGGACUAGUGGUUAUGCCACAGCGCUCUCACCGCUGCAGCCUGGGUUUGAUUCCCAGCUAGGGAA